CACUCCUGCGGGAGGCAGCAGUGGGGAAUAUUGGACAAUGGGCGCAAGCCUGAUCCAGCCAUGCCGCGUGAGUGAUGAAGGCCCUAGGGUUGUAAAGCUCUUUCACCGGUGAAGAUAAUGACGGUAACCGGAGAAGAAGCCCCGGCUAACUUCGUGCCAGCAGCCGCGGUAAUACGAAGGGGGCUAGCGUUGUUCGGAUUUACUGGGCGUAAAGCGCACGUAGGCGGACUAUUAAGUCAGGGGUGAAAUCCCGGGGCUCAACCCCGGAACUGCCUUUGAUACUGGUAGUCUUGAGUUCGAGAGAGGUGAGUGGAAUUCCGAGUGUAGAGGUGAAAUUCGUAGAUAUUCGGAGGAACACCAGUGGCGAAGGCGGCUCACUGGCUCGAUACUGACGCUGAGGUGCGAAAGCGUGGGGAGCAAACAGGAUUAGAAACCCGGGUAGUCCCAUGAU
rnacentral:rRNA from 1 species